GACGAACCGUGCGAACGUUGUUCGGAUUCACUGGGCUUAAAGGGCGCGUAGGCGGGUUGCCAAGUCGGUGGUGAAAUCUUUCGGCCCAACCGGAAAAUCGCCUCCGAUACUGGCGACCUCGAGGGGGGUAGGGGCAUGCGGAACUUCCGGUGGAGCGGUGAAAUGCGUAGAUAUCGGAAGGAACGCCGGCGGCGAAAGCGGCGUGCUGGACCCCUUCUGACGCUGAGGCGCGAAAGCCAGGGGAGCAAACGGG
rnacentral:rRNA from 1 species